rnacentral:misc_RNA from 1 species
GAUGAAGAACGUAGCGAAAUGCGAUAAGUAGUGUGAAUUGCAGAAUUCAGUGAAUCAUCGAAUCUUUGAACGCACAUUGCGCCCCUUGGUAUCCCGAGGGGCAUGCCUGUUCGAGCGUCAUUUCACCACUCAAGCCUGGCUUGGUGUUGGGCGACGUCCUCUUUGGGGACGCGCCUCGAAACGCUCGGCGGCGUGGCACCGGCUUUAAGCGUAGCAGAAUCUUUCGCUUUGGAAGUCGGGGCCCCGUCUGCCGGAAGACCUGCUCGCAAGGUUGACCUCGGAUCAGGCAGGGAUACCCGCUGAACUUAAGCAUAUCAAUAAGGAGGA